rnacentral:rRNA from 1 species
GACAGAGGGUGCAAACGUUGUUCGGAAUUACUGGGCGUAAAGCGUGUGUAGGCGGCCACGUAAGUCGGAUGUGAAAGCCCCGGGCUCAACUCGGGAAGUGCACUCGAUACUGCGUGGCUUGAGUACUGGAGAGGUUGGUGGAAUUCUCGGUGUAGAGGUGAAAUUCGUAGAUAUCGAGAGGAACACCGGUGGCGAAGGCGGCCAACUGGACAGAUACUGACGCUGAGACACGAAAGCGUGGGGAGCAAACAGG